GUGGGGAAUAUUGGACAAUGGGCGAAAGCCUGAUCCAGCCAUGCCGCGUGUGUGAAGAAGGUCUUCGGAUUGUAAAGCACUUUAAGUUGGGAGGAAGGGCAGUAAGUUAAUACCUUGCUGUUUUGACGUUACCGACAGAAUAAGCACCGGCUAACUUCGUGCCAGCAGCCGCGGUAGUACGAAGGGUGCAAGCGUUAAUCGGAAUUACUGGGCGUAAAGCGCGCGUAGGUGGUUUUGUAAGUUGGAGGUGAAAUCCCCGGGCUCAACCUGGGAACUGCCUCCAAAACUGCAUGACUAGAGUACGGUAGAGGGUAGUGGAAUUUCCUGUGUAGCGGUGAAAUGCGUAGAUAUAGGAAGGAACACCAGUGGCGAAGGCGACUACCUGGACUGAUACUGACACUGAGGUGCGAAAGCGUGGGGAGCAAACAGGAUUAGAAACCCUGGUAGUCC
rnacentral:rRNA from 1 species